GAAGAGCACUCCUACGGGAGGCAGCAGUGGGGAAUAUUGCACAAUGGGCGCAAGCCUGAUGCAGCCAUGCCGCGUGUAUGAAGAAGGCCUUCGGGUUGUAAAGUACUUUCAGCAGUGAGGAAGGUGGAUAUGUUAAUAGCAUAUUCAUUUGACGUUAGCUGCAGAAGAAGCACCGGCUAACUCCGUGCCAGCAGCCGCGGUAAUACGGAGGGUGCGAGCGUUAAUCGGAAUUACUGGGCGUAAAGCGCAUGCAGGUGGUUUGUUAAGUCAGAUGUGAAAGCCCGGGGCUCAACCUCGGAAUUGCAUUUGAAACUGGCAAACUAGAGUACUGUAGAGGGGGUAGAAUUUCAGGUGUAGCGGUGAAAUGCGUAGAGAUCUGAAGGAAUACCGGUGGCGAAGGCGGCCCCCUGGACAGAUACUGACACUCAGAUGCGAAAGCGUGGGGAGCAAACAGGAUUAGAUAACCUGGUAG
rnacentral:rRNA from 1 species